rnacentral:tRNA from 1 species
AUCAGCAUGGCGCAGCUGGUUUAGGGCGCGGGGCCCAUAACCCCGAGGUCCUCUGAUCGAAACGGAGUGCUGCUA